rnacentral:rRNA from 1 species
ACAGCAAACCAGUGUAUCCCUGAAGGUACCCAGUCCUGCCUGAUCACGGAAGCUAAGCAGGAUCACCCCUGGUUAGUGCUUGGAUGGGAGACCGCCAAACAACAGCAGGGGCUGGGGGUG